GCUGGGCACAGUGUCUCAAGCCUAUAAUCCAAGUACUUUGGGAGGCCAAGGCAGGAUUGCUUGAGCCCAGGAGUUCUGGGCUAUAACGCGCUAUACUGAUAGUUCCCACUAAGUUCAGCAUCAAUAUGGUGACUUCCCAGGAGCAGGGGACCACCAGAUUGCCUGAGAAAGGGUGAACUGCCCCAGGUCAGAAAUGGAAGUCAAAACUCCCUUGCUGAUCAGUAGUGAGAUCGUGCCACUGCACUCCAGCUCGGGCAGCAUAACAAGACCCCCAU
rnacentral:SRP_RNA from 1 species